rnacentral:rRNA from 1 species
UACGUAGGGCGCAAGCGUUUGUCCGGAAUUAUUGGGCGUAAAGAGCUCGUAGGCGGCUUGUCGCGUCGGUUGUGAAAGCCCGGGGCUUAACCCCGGGUCUGCAGUCGAUACGGGCAGGCUAGAGUGUGGUAGGGGAGAUCGGAAUUCCUGGUGUAGCGGUGAAAUGCGCAGAUAUCAGGAGGAACACCGGUGGCGAAGGCGGAUCUCUGGGCCAUUACUGACGCUGAGGAGCGAAAGCGUGGGGAGCGAACAGG